CGGGAACUCGGCCCUGCGGGAGCGCGCGGCCUUCCCAAGGCGGCGGCGCGAGGCGGCCUGAGAGCGCGCCCGCGUGCACGUCCGCUCCCCCUCCCCCACUCCGCAGGGGAAGACCCCAAAUCCUGCGAAGGCCUCAGGGCUCCUUAAACUUGUGGGGCUGGCGCGACCCUUAGAAUCCCGACCUCCAGUCCCGGGGCCACCGCCCUCCCUGCUUGUGGGGCGGGACGCAGGAACACUACGGACGCCGGACCCCGGACCAGAGACCCCCACGACCCGACUCAUGGAGGCGCCCAGUAACUUUGAAGUGAAAGACUGUUGAAGACCCCUGGCUCGCGUGAGUCGAGCUCCGAGGAGACGAACUCCUAAACCAGAGUUGGGGUUGGGAGCGUCCGCUUUGAACAUUUAGUUCCACCCCGAGGAGACGAUGUCCACCCAGCUCAGGUCCUCAUCUCCCUUCCUCUGGAGUCCUCUUCUGUAACUCUCACCAUUGAGAGGCACCUUGCAAGACGAAAGGACUUAAAAUCUUACAUGUUACUGCCCAGCACAAAGGAGUUCGCAUGUGAUCUUUGCAGAUCAUCCCC